rnacentral:piRNA from 1 species
UAUCUUCUAGGGCCUUCUCCAU